rnacentral:rRNA from 1 species
AUUGAACGCUGGCGGCAUGCCUUACACAUGCAAGUCGAACGGCAGCACGGGAGCAAUCCUGGUGGCGAGUGGCGAACGGGUGAGUAAAAUAUCGGAACGUGCCCAGUCGUGGGGGAUAACGUAGCGAAAGCUACGCUAAUACCGCAUACGAUCUACGGAUGAAAGCGGGGGAUCGCAAGACCUCGCGCGAUUGGAGCGGCCGAUAUCAGAUUAGGUAGUUGGUGAGGUAAAGGCUCACCAAGCCGACGAUCUGUAGCUGGUCUGAGAGGACGACCAGCCACACUGGGACUGAGACACGGCCCAGACUCCUACGGGAGGCAGCAGUGGGGAAUUUUGGACAAUGGGCGCAAGCCUGAUUCAGCAAUGCCGCGUGCAGGAUGAAGGCCUUCGGGUUGUAAACUGCUUUUGUACGGAACGAAACGGCGAGCUCUAAUACAGUUUGCUAAUGACGGUACCGUAAGAAUAAGCACCGGCUAACUACGUGCCAGCCGCCGCGGUAA